rnacentral:rRNA from 1 species
GACGGAAGGUGCAAGCGUUGCUCGGAAUCACUGGGCGUAAAGGGUGCGUAGGCGGCCUGGUAAGUCUGGCGUGAAAGCCCCGGGCUCAGCCCGGGAAGGGCACUAGAAACUGCCAAGCUAGAGUGCCGGAGGGGAGAGUGGAAUUCCUGGUGUAGCGGUGAAAUGCGCAGAUAUCAGGAGGAACACCGGUGGCGAAGGCGGUUCUCUGGGCAUUACCUGACGCUGAGGAGCGAAAGUGUGGGGAGCGAACAGG